GUGCAGGAUAAGUUACAAUACAGCUUGUGCAGUACUGUGUUGUCGUUCCCCCUGCAAACAGUCACUUGUUUCCUCGCUAUACCUGUUUGUCAGCACCUUUUGACUACCAGGCACGUAUGGUUUCAGACAA
ensembl:snoRNA SNORA63 Small nucleolar RNA SNORA63